UAUAGUUGUGUUCAUAUCUUGUUCAUAGUAUAUGAACUAGUUCUUAGUUCUUGUGCUAUGUUCUUGAUGUGUUCAUGCUUGUUCUUCAUCGUUCAUCGAAUUAGUAUGAAUAGACAAAGGAUUAAGAUUGGGGUAAUGGUUCUUUGGGAUGUGAUGGCCACUCUUAGCCGAGCCUGUCAAUCCGAAGGGUUGGGGUCCUGGGAGGCUAGGAGGCGUUUCCAAUUACACGGGCGAGGUGCUUGGGUAUGCGGAGAUCAGCGGAUGCACGGGUAUCUUUCGGGUAGAGGGGUAGGUGGCAGGGUAGUGACAGCCCUGUCAUCUAUGGUAUUCCUCCACGAUCAGGUAUUCCGGUAGCAGUUCUGUAAAGUCCCUAUUGGCUGGAUGUCCAGCUGUAGGGAUCUCCCCAGAGCCUCAGACUUAGUUCUAACUCUAGUUAUAUUGAUUAGAUGUUCUACUAACAAUUCUUUGAAUAGCAAUAUAAGAUCAAUGUCGGCUGAAGUAGUUGUUCUUUAUUUCUUUUAUUUCCUUAUUUUCUCUUUUUUUCCUUGAGGUUGCCCCGAUGAGUGUGUCAACUAUCCAUAUUUUAAGAGCCUGCUGUGACCUCUGAUUAGAUUAUGUCUACCUAUGCAUCUCAAUAAGUGAUCACACUACAAAUCAAGGUAGAUGCAUUUGUUAAGGCCUCCUACGGGAUUAAAUACGAUAACCCUUGAAUACUCACGGGUUGAAAUGCUACAGUGAUAGUUCUGUUCGCUUGCAGUUUUAUUCCUUAUAUUCAUUAAACAUUGAUUGCUGUACCUAAGUACCGUUACUUAAGAUUGUAAACUCUGUGCAUUUAUCUGGCGCCAUGCUACAGCUUUGCAUAUCGUAAGGAUGGUUAGGAUGGCUGUUGACGGUCCUUAAGUAUCAAAUUUAAUUAACAAUUAAAUAAAGAAAAGGAUCUAAAUGAAAUCAACAUCUAGACUUAGGGUUUUAUGUGACAGAAUUCCACGAGUUUUGGUGUUUGUCUAUUUCUGCAGGGGGUU
rnacentral:lncRNA from 1 species